CCUAGGGGGGGCUGCAGUGGGGGAUAUUGCACAAUGGGGGAAACCCUGAUGCAGCGACGCCGCGUGUGGGAAGACGGUCCUCUGGAUUGUAAACCACUGUCCCCAGGGACGAAAAUGACGGUACCUGACUAAGAAGCCCCGGCUAACUACGUGCCAGCAGCCGCGGUAAUACGUAGGGGGCAAGCGUUAUCCGGAUUUACUGGGUGUAAAGGGAGCGUAGACGGCCAGACAAGUCAGAAGUGAAAGCCCAGGGCUCAACCCUGGGACUGCUUUUGAAACUGCCGGGCUGGAGUGCAGGAGAGGUAAGCGGAAUUCCUAGUGUAGCGGUGAAAUGCGUAGAUAUUAGGAGGAACACCAGUGGCGAAGGCGGCUUACUGGACUGUAACUGACGUUGAGGCUCGAAAGCGUGGGGAGCAAACAGGAUUAGAUACCCUUGUAGUC
rnacentral:rRNA from 1 species